rnacentral:lncRNA from 1 species
CUACUAUUUUUCACUAGGGGCCUUUUUCUAGUUAAUAUUAUUAUUAUAAUUACUAAAGUAUCUUUAAAUGUAAAGAGAAAUAGAAAUAGAAGAUGAUGACUGUGUGUUAAUGUUUACUGAUGUGUUUGUGUGUGCAGGUCUGCAGUAAUGGUGCGUGUGUGGAGCUGGAGGAAGCCUAUGGAGAACCCAACUGUUCUAAAGCAUGCACAGGAAACUCAGUGUGUAAUAAUAUAGGAGAAUGCCAGUGCACACCAGGAUGGGUACCACCUGACUGUACCACACGCUACACAGACCACAUCACCUAUAACAGUGAGUCUACACACUAUAAAUACAUAUAUAUAUAUAUAUAUAUAUAUAUAUAUAUAU